rnacentral:rRNA from 1 species
GAGUUGGGCCUGCUCGGUGAAUAAUUUUUAACAGCUGCGGUAUUUUAACUGUACUAAGGUAGCAUAAUAAUUUGCCUUAUAAUUUGAGGCUAGAAUGAAUGGUUUGACGAAGGUUAAUCUGUCUCUAUCUUAUUUUUUAGAAUUUAAUUUUUAAAGUGAAAAAGCUUGAAUUUUUUAAAGGGACGAGAAGACCCUAAUGAGCUUAUAAUUUUAUUAUUAUUAUUUAAUAUAUUUAAAUAAUAAUAUAUAAAUUUUAAUUGGGGUGAUUAAGGAAUAAAAGAAUUAUAUAAUAACUUCCUUAGAUUAAAUAUAUAUAUAUAAAGUAACCAAUAAUAUAUUGCUUAUAAUAUAGUUACCAUAGGGAUAACAGCGUAAUUUGUUUAGAGAGUUCUUAUUGAAAAACAAGAUUGCGACCUCGAUGUUGGAUUAAAGUAACCUUAAGGUGCAGAAGCUUUAGUAAGGUAAAUCUGUUCGAUUUUUAAUACUUU